rnacentral:rRNA from 1 species
ACGCCUGAUCUCAUCUGAUCUCAGAAGCUA